rnacentral:rRNA from 1 species
UGGGGAAUAUUGGACAAUGGGCGAAAGCCUGAUCCAGCCAUGCCGCGUGUGUGAAGAAGGCCUUUUGGUUGUAAAGCACUUUAAGCGAGGAGAAGGCUACCGAGAUUAAUACUCUUGGAUAGUGGACGUUACUCGCAGAAUAAGCACCGGCUAACUCUGUGCCAGCAGCCGCGGUAAUACAGAGGGUGCGAGCGUUAAUCGGAUUUACUGGGCGUAAAGCGUGCGUAGGCGGCUUUUUAAGUCGGAUGUGAAAUCCCUGAGCUUAACUUAGGAAUUGCAUUCGAUACUGGGAAGCUAGAGUAUGGGAGAGGAUGGUAGAAUUCCAGGUGUAGCGGUGAAAUGCGUAGAGAUCUGGAGGAAUACCGAUGGCGAAGGCAGCCAUCUGGCCUAAUACUGACGCUGAGGUACGAAAGCAUGGGGAGCAAACAGGAUUAGAUACCCUGGUAGUCCAUGCCGUAAACGAUGUCUACUAGCCGUUGGGGCCUUUGAGGC